rnacentral:lncRNA from 1 species
GACUUCUAAGGGACAAAAAGAAAGAAAAAAAGUUCAUGGGACAACUGAAAUGGUUGCCAUGAUGGGAACAGCUACAAUAUUAUGAAUCACAGAUUCCUUCCCUAUCAAGAACAUUCAGUGAGGCAUGGCAACGGUAUAUGACAUGUUGGCCAUGUGCUGGAGGAGCUCCUUCUUUGCCUGGCCAUCCAGUCAGGCAUCUCUCCCUCCCUCCCACCCACCCCAGGUAAGGAAAGAGUGGGGUUUCUCCCCUCUACUUCAGCCUCACCAUCUUCCUCAGGACCCUUUUUACGUGACCCAAGUAUAUAUGUAUAUUAGAAAAGUAAAAAACAAAACAAAUAUUAACUGAAAAUCAGGAUUUAGAAGGCUUGCUAAACAGUCUAGUUUUUCUUUUUGUGAAGUGCAGCUGAAGCAUUUGCUGAGGGGCUCUACACUGCCCUCCUCCUACUCCAAGGGCCAUCCUUUCCUAACAAUCACAGCUUGGGAAGGGGGCUGAGCUCAUGCCAGAGAAAGUAGGCACAGAGGCUGCCAGGUGGGUAGCUGAGAAGUGGCUCUAUGCUUUUUCUGCUGCUGCAUCUCUUCCUGAGAGUGUAUGCCUACAUGCCUCACUAUAUCCUCCCACUCCCCCGUUAAACAGGCGGCAGCUUCAGA